rnacentral:rRNA from 1 species
AUUAAUACCCCAUAAUGUAUUGAUAAGGCAUCUUAUUAAUAUUAAAGCUUCGGCACUUGAUGAUGGGUGUGCGGCUGAAUUAGAUAGUUGGCGGGGUAACGGCCCACCAAGUCUACGAUCAGUAGCUGAUGUGAGAGCAUGAUCAGCCACACGGGCACUGAGACGCGGGCCCGACUCCUACGGGAGGCAGCAGUAAGGAAUAUUGGACAAUGGACGAAAGUCUGAUCCAGCCAUGCCCGCGUGAAGGAUUAAGGUCCUCUGGAUUGUAAACUUCUUUUAUAUGGGACGAAAAAAGGGCAUUCUUGUUCACUUGACGGUACCAUAUGAAUAAGCACCGGCUAACUCCGUG